GGUUAAGCGACUAAGCGUACACGGUGGAUGCCCUGGCAGUCAGAGGCGAUGAAGGACGUGCUAAUCUGCGAUAAGCGUCGGUAAGGUGAUAUGAACCGUUAUAACCGGCGAUUUCCGAAUGGGGAAACCCAGUGUGAUUCGUCACACUAUCAUUAACUGAAUCCAUAGGUUAAUGAGGCGAACCGGGGGAACUGAAACAUCUAAGUACCCCGAGGAAAAGAAAUCAACCGAGAUUCCCCCAGUAGCGGCGAGCGAACGGGGAGCAGCCCAGAGCCUGAAUCAGUGUGUGUGUUAGUGGAAGCGUCUGGAAAGGCGUGCGAUACAGGGUGACAGCCCCGUACACAAAAAUGCACAUACUGUGAGCUCGAUGAGUAGGGCGGGACACGUGGUAUCCUGUCUGAAUAUGGGGGGACCAUCCUCCAAGGCUAAAUACUCCUGACUGACCGAUAGUGAACCAGUACCGUGAGGGAAAGGCGAAAAGAACCCCGGCGAGGGGAGUGAAAAAGAACCUGAAACCGUGUACGUACAAGCAGUGGGAGCACGCUUAGGCGUGUGACUGCGUACCUUUUGUAUAAUGGGUCAGCGACUUAUAUUCUGUAGCAAGGUUAACCGAAUAGGGGAGCCGAAGGGAAACCGAGUCUUAACUGGGCGUUAAGUUGCAGGGUAUAGACCCGAAACCCGGUGAUCUAGCCAUGGGCAGGUUGAAGGUUGGGUAACACUAACUGGAGGACCGAACCGACUAAUGUUGAAAAAUUAGCGGAUGACUUGUGGCUGGGGGUGAAAGGCCAAUCAAACCGGGAGAUAGCUGGUUCUCCCCGAAAGCUAUUUAGGUAGCGCCUCGUGAAUUCAUCUCCGGGGGUAGAGCACUGUUUCGGCAAGGGGGUCAUCCCGACUUACCAACCCGAUGCAAACUGCGAAUACCGGAGAAUGUUAUCACGGGAGACACACGGCGGGUGCUAACGUCCGUCGUGAAGAGGGAAACAACCCAGACCGCCAGCUAAGGUCCCAAAGUCAUGGUUAAGUGGGAAACGAUGUGGGAAGGCCCAGACAGCCAGGAUGUUGGCUUAGAAGCAGCCAUCAUUUAAAGAAAGCGUAAUAGCUCACUGGUCGAGUCGGCCUGCGCGGAAGAUGUAACGGGGCUAAACCAUGCACCGAAGCUGCGGCAGCGACGCUUAUGCGUUGUUGGGUAGGGGAGCGUUCUGUAAGCCUGUGAAGGUGUGCUGUGAGGUAUGCUGGAGGUAUCAGAAGUGCGAAUGCUGACAUAAGUAACGAUAAAGCGGGUGAAAAGCCCGCUCGCCGGAAGACCAAGGGUUCCUGUCCAACGUUAAUCGGGGCAGGGUGAGUCGACCCCUAAGGCGAGGCCGAAAGGCGUAGUCGAUGGGAAACAGGUUAAUAUUCCUGUACUUGGUGUUACUGCGAAGGGGGGACGGAGAAGGCUAUGUUGGCCGGGCGACGGUUGUCCCGGUUUAAGCGUGUAGGCUGGUUUUCCAGGCAAAUCCGGAAAAUCAAGGCCGAGGCGUGAUGACGAGGCACUACGGUGCUGAAGCAACAAAUGCCCUGCUUCCAGGAAAAGCCUCUAAGCAUCAGGUAACAUCAAAUCGUACCCCAAACCGACACAGGUGGUCAGGUAGAGAAUACCAAGGCGCUUGAGAGAACUCGGGUGAAGGAACUAGGCAAAAUGGUGCCGUAACUUCGGGAGAAGGCACGCUGAUACGUAGGUGAAGCGACUUGCUCGUGGAGCUGAAAUCAGUCGAAGAUACCAGCUGGCUGCAACUGUUUAUUAAAAACACAGCACUGUGCAAACACGAAAGUGGACGUAUACGGUGUGACGCCUGCCCGGUGCCGGAAGGUUAAUUGAUGGGGUUAGCGCAAGCGAAGCUCUUGAUCGAAGCCCCGGUAAACGGCGGCCGUAACUAUAACGGUCCUAAGGUAGCGAAAUUCCUUGUCGGGUAAGUUCCGACCUGCACGAAUGGCGUAAUGAUGGCCAGGCUGUCUCCACCCGAGACUCAGUGAAAUUGAACUCGCUGUGAAGAUGCAGUGUACCCGCGGCAAGACGGAAAGACCCCGUGAACCUUUACUAUAGCUUGACACUGAACAUUGAGCCUUGAUGUGUAGGAUAGGUGGGAGGCUUUGAAGUGUGGACGCCAGUCUGCAUGGAGCCGACCUUGAAAUACCACCCUUUAAUGUUUGAUGUUCUAACGUGGACCCGUGAUCCGGGUUGCGGACAGUGUCUGGUGGGUAGUUUGACUGGGGCGGUCUCCUCCUAAAGAGUAACGGAGGAGCACGAAGGUUGGCUAAUCCUGGUCGGACAUCAGGAGGUUAGUGCAAUGGCAUAAGCCAGCUUGACUGCGAGCGUGACGGCGCGAGCAGGUGCGAAAGCAGGUCAUAGUGAUCCGGUGGUUCUGAAUGGAAGGGCCAUCGCUCAACGGAUAAAAGGUACUCCGGGGAUAACAGGCUGAUACCGCCCAAGAGUUCAUAUCGACGGCGGUGUUUGGCACCUCGAUGUCGGCUCAUCACAUCCUGGGGCUGAAGUAGGUCCCAAGGGUAUGGCUGUUCGCCAUUUAAAGUGGUACGCGAGCUGGGUUUAGAACGUCGUGAGACAGUUCGGUCCCUAUCUGCCGUGGGCGCUGGAGAACUGAGGGGGGCUGCUCC
rnacentral:rRNA from 1 species